rnacentral:rRNA from 1 species
GAUGAAUGCUGGCGGCGUGCCUAAUACAUGCAAGUCGAGCGAACGGACGAGAAGCUUGCUUCUCUGAUGUUAGCGGCGGACGGGUGAGUAACACGUGGAUAACCUACCUAUAAGACUGGGAUAACUUCGGGAAACCGGAGCUAAUACCGGAUAAUAUUUUGAACCGCAUGGUUCAAAAGUGAAAGACGGUCUUGCUGUCACUUAUAGAUGGAUCCGCGCUGCAUUAGCUAGUUGGUAAGGUAACGGCUUACCAAGGCAACGAUGCAUAGCCGACCUGAGAGGGUGAUCGGCCACACUGGAACUGAGACACGGUCCAGACUCCUACGGGAGGCAGCAGUAGGGAAUCUUCCGCAAUGGGCGAAAGCCUGACGGAGCAACGCCGCGUGAGUGAUGAAGGUCUUCGGAUCGUAAAACUCUGUUAUUAGGGAAGAACAUAUGUGUAAGUAACUGUGCACAUCCUGACGGUACCUAAUCAGAAAGCCACGGCUAACUACGUG